UACGUAGGGUGCAAGCGUUGUCCGGAAUUAUUGGGCGUAAAGAGCUCGUAGGCGGUUUGUCGCGUCGAAUGUGAAAACCCGGGGCUCAACCCCGGGCCUGCAUUCGAUACGGGCAGACUAGAGUUCGGUAGGGGAGUCUGGAAUUCCUGGUGUAGCGGUGAAAUGCGCAGAUAUCAGGAGGAACACCGGUGGCGAAGGCGGCGUGCUGGACUGCAACUGACACUGAUGAACGAAAGCCAGGGGAGCAAACGGG
rnacentral:rRNA from 1 species